rnacentral:lncRNA from 1 species
CUAGGAGUGGUGCUGUUCCUAGCUGGUUACUGGGCCGCUGGGGCAGAAGGGAGGGACGAGGACAUCACCACAGAGAGGUUGUAGAUGCUCCAUCCCUGGAGUUCUUCAAGGCCAGAUUGGACGGGGCUCUGGGCAGCCUGAUCAAGUGGCUGGCAACCCUGCCUGUGGCUUUGGAGCUGGAACAAGAUCAUCUUUGAGAUUCCUUCCAACCCAACCCAUUCUAAGGCUUCAUCCUAAAGCACUGCUGUUAAUGCACUUAUGUUGGCCUGACCUGCUCCGGAGGCUGCCACAGCAUUCAUACGAAGACCAUCCCUAGGCUUCCCUGGACUUU